UACAGAGGUCUCAAGCGUUGUUCGGAUUCAUUGGGCGUAAAGGGUGUGUAGGUGGCGCCGUAAGUCGGGUGUGAAAUUUCGGAGCUUAACUCCGAAACUGCAUUCGAUACUGCGGUGCUUGAGGACUGGAGAGGAGACUGGAAUUCAUGGUGUAGCGGUGAAAUGCGCAGAUAUCAGGAGGAACACCGGUGGCGAAGGCGGGUCUCUGGGCCGAUACUGACGCUGAGGAGCGAAAGCGUGGGGAGCGAACAGG
rnacentral:rRNA from 1 species